rnacentral:rRNA from 1 species
CUGGCGGCAUGCCUAACACAUGCACCUCGAGCGAGACCUUCGGGUCUAGCGGCGGACGGGUUAGUAACGCGUGGGAACGUGCCCUUUACUACGGAAUAGUCCCGGGAAACUGGGUUUAAUACCGUAUACGCCCUUCGGGGGAAAGAUUUAUCGGUAAAGGAUCGGCCCGCGUUAGAUUAGAUAGUUGGUGGGGUAAUGGCCUACCAAGUCUACGAUCUAUAGCUGGUUUGAGAGGAUGAUCAGCAACACUGGGACUGAGACACGGCCCAGACUCCUACGGGAGGCAGCAGUGGGGAAUCUUAGACAAUGGGCGCAAGCCUGAUCUAGCCAUGCCGCGUGAGUGACGAAGGCCUUAGGGUCGUAAAGCUCUUUCGCCAGGGAUGAUAAUGACAGUACCUGGUAAAGAAACCCCGGCUAACUCCGUGCCAGCAGCCGCGGUAAUACGGAGGGGGUUAGCGUUGUUCGGAAUUACUGGGCGUUAAGCGCACGUAGGCGGACUGGAAAGUUGGGGGUGAAAUCCCGGGGCUAACCUCG